rnacentral:tRNA from 7 species
GCUGCCGUAGUUCAACGGAUAGAACGAGGAGUUCCUAAUUCCUAAAUGCAAGUUCAAUUCUUGCCGGUGGCACUA